GGGGGACGUGCUGGGGAGUGAUAUUGGCCAAAUGAUGUUGUCACAUUGUGUGCAUGUACAAAUGUGUAGCAACAAACCCCAUCAUAGGUACAACUGUAAUGCACCAGUGGGAAAAAUGUGGAAAAGAGGGAGAGAGAGAGAGAGAGAGAGAGAGAGGGAGUGGGAGAGAGGGCCAUUCACUCUUGUGUUGCGAGAGAAGGGCCAAGCCAGGGACUGGAAUGAGUUGAAAAGUAUUGAAGGUAGGAAGUCACACUCGUUUUCUCCUUGUGUAGGGACCUCUGUUCUGGGAGCCGUACCCAGGAAAGGACAGGGAAAACAUAGAUAUUCCAAAGAACUAUUUUAAUUUUUUUAUUUGUUCUUUAUAGAUACACAUGACAGUAGAGUGUAUUUUGACAUAUGCCUACGUGGAGUACAACUUUCCAUUCUGUGGUUGUACAUGAUGUGGAGUUACACCGAUCAUGUAUUCAUAUACGAACAUAAGAAAGUGAUGUCCAACUCAUUCUACUGUCUUUUCUAUUCCCAUCCC
rnacentral:lncRNA from 1 species